rnacentral:rRNA from 1 species
CCUACGGGUGGCAGCAGUGGGGAAUAUUGCGCAAUGGACGAAAGUCUGACGCAGCGACGCCGCGUGAGGGAUGAAGGUUUUCGGAUCGUAAACCUCUGUCAGGAGGGAAGAAAGCGCAUGGCGCCAAUCAGCCAUGCGUUGACGGUACCUCCAAAGGAAGCGCCGGCUAACUCCGUGCCCGCAGCCGCGGUAAUACGGAGGAUGCGAGCGUUAUCCGGAUUUAUUGGGUUUAAAGGGUGCGUAGGCGGUCCGGAAAGUCAGCGGUAACAGCCCGGGGCUCAACCCCGGCGAGCCGUUGAAACUGUCGGACUAGAGACGGCGAGAAGUACGCGGAAUGCGCGGUGUAGCGGUGAAAUGCAUAGAUAUCGCGCAGAACUCCGAUUGCGAAGGCAGCGUACCGGCGCCGGACUGACGCUGAGGCACGAAAGCGUGGGUAUCGAACAGGAUUAGAUACCCCAGUAGUC